rnacentral:rRNA from 1 species
AUUGAACGCUGGCGGCAUGCUUUACACAUGCAAGUCGAACGGCAGCGCGGGCUCAGCCCUGGCGGCGAGUGGCGAACGGGUGAGUAAUAUAUCGGAACGUACCCAGGGGUGGGGGAUAACGUAGCGAAAGUUACGCUAAUACCGCAUACGCUCUAUGGAGGAAAGCAGGGGACCGCAAGGCCUUGCGCGCUUGGAGCGGCCGAUAUCUGAUUAGCUAGUUGGUGGGGUAAAGGCUCACCAAGGCAACGAUCAGUAGCUGGUCUGAGAGGACGACCAGCCACACUGGGACUGAGACACGGCCCAGACUCCUACGGGAGGCAGCAGUGGGGAAUUUUGGACAAUGGGGGCAACCCUGAUCCAGCAAUGCCGCGUGAGUGAAGAAGGCCUUCGGGUUGUAAAGCUCUUUUGUCAGGGAAGAA